rnacentral:rRNA from 1 species
AGGACGUGGUUACCAACGAAAAGCUCCGGGGAGUUGGAAGCAAACAGAGAGCCGGAGAUGUCCGAAUGGGGAAACCCGAAAUACUACCUGUUGAAUAUAUAGACAGGAAAGAGCAAACCUGGCGAAUUGAAACAUCUUAGUAGC